CACAAUCUAUUUCAACUGGCCUAUCCUUUAUCCAGGAAAUUCCUUUUCCUUUUUCAUUAUAAAACAGUGACGUUCUCCAUGACAAAGCCUAUUACACAAUUUAAUAUUUUCUUUUUUUUUUUUCUUUCUCGUUCUCCAUCUUUCCCUUCUCAAAUUCCCAAAGAAGAAAGGGCUUUCAGAAGUGGGAAUAUUAGCAAGAUUCCUAAGAGCCUUAGGUCAUUUAUAGUACCCUGCACGUACUCUCUUCUUUUGUACAGUACAUCUUGAAGGUCACAUGCAUUUCUUUUUUACUUUUUUCUUUAGGCUGCUAUUUUCCAUUUUCUCCAGCAGCUGUUUCUACUUCCAGCUGAGAAAAAAUUAUUUUGGAAAUACUUCAACCAUCAAAGAAGCUGCAAGUCUACACAGGUAGCUCUGUAAGAUGCUUACCAUCCUGCAGCAGUGCCCUGACACCAGCUGCAGUUACGUGGCUCACUCUGGAUGUCUGCAGUGCAGGCCCUGUCGCUGUCCCUGUGAGGAGCUGCAGCCGCCACGAGGGAACUAUGGACAACCAUGACGUAGGCAAGAGAAAAGGAGAAACAGAGGCACCCAAACCAGAUGGAUUCAGAAGUCAAGUGGUAUGUCAGCAGUCAACAUGAAGUCAGAAUUUGGCUUUCCUGAAAUUAAUCAGAAGACCAGACUUUGGGCCACACAAGUCUGCUCCUACCUCUUUUCUACCAAUUUCCUACUUUGCCUUAUUUUGCCCACCUCCCCCGUGAAACAGCAACAAAAACUUAAGCCCAUUCUUUCCAUUUUCCUAACUUUUCUCCAGAUGCUAGUUAGGUACAUGCACCCACUUUGUGUUUCCAGGCUGGAACACGUUUCUUGUGAAGCCAUCCAGCUCUCCCUCAGAGCUGAGCCUAUCCUGGCCACCUGCUGCUGUGUUGUCUGUUAAUCACACUCUUUCCCACUGUGAGUCCCAGCAGGAUCACUGUUGGCACAGAUUUUCACAUAUCCCAUAUUAGAUAAUUUCAUGGAAGGGCUCCACACAACCAAGAUUGCCUUUCUGUCAAGCUGCCUUUUUUUAUGAGGUGCUGCAUCUCAUCACCCAUCACGUUGAUAUGACACCGUCAGACACAGCCUGCUCCCUGCCUCCAUGAAGAGAAGUCUGAUUGCUUGAGUCAAACUGAGAAAUUCACCUUAGCACUGGAAAAACAUUCACUGGAAGUCCCUGGCAGUACCUAAAAAGGAGCUCAUCUCCCCUCUCCUAAUGUAUAUGUCUCUCAUUGUCACAACGGACCUUGUUGCUACAGCAAUGCACACGGAUAUGAAUUUCCUCAGAAUUAUGGUGGCAGAAUGUGAUUAAAAAAAAUAAAAAAUGGAUCUUUGAUAUUAAAGCAACCUAAAGAGCAGGGUUCUACUCCUAGAUUUACCCACCACCUCUAAUCUACACAGACACUGUUGUAGAGACAUUCAUGGAAAAAAUCAAAACAUAGGGUAGAGCUACUCUGGAGAAUUUCCUAUCCCAGAAAGGGAGCUGAAGCACUUGAGAUAUUAAUGAC
rnacentral:lncRNA from 1 species